rnacentral:tRNA from 1 species
CUGGAUAGGCAGGCCUUGAUCCUACAAAACUUUAAUUAACAGCUAAACACCCAAACCAGCGGGCUUCUAUCCG